AUACGGAGGGUGCAAGCGUUACUCGGAAUCACUGGGCGUAAAGCGCGCGCAGGCGGCUAUUUAAGUUGGAUGUGAAAGCCUACGGCUCAACCGUAGAACUGCAUCCAAAACUAUUUAGCUAGAGUGUGGGAGAGGAAGAUGGAAUUAGUUGUGUAGGGGUAAAAUCCGUAGAGAUAACUAGGAAUACCAAAAGCGAAGGCAAUCUUCUGGAACACUACUGACGCUGAGGCACGAAAGCGUGGGGAGCAAACAGGAGUAGAAACCCCGGUAGUCC
rnacentral:rRNA from 1 species